UUUGACAGCGGAAGUUCGCAACAAGGGACAAAUUACGUCUCCCCAUCUAUUGUUACAGAUGGAGUCUCUCCGGACUAGCCACUGAGCUUCAGUCUCUUAUUUAUGAGGAAUAAUAUUUUGUACAAGAACCCUGCUGAGGGGAGGGAAUGGAGAACAAAGCAACAAAAUAACUGGACUCAGAGAUGUCAGGACUCCCCACGAGCCUGGGGAAUAACUGGUGACAACAAGGCAAUGUUGUUCUUCCUCUCGUUCUUGUUGGUGUCCUCCUUGAUGACUUUGCAAGCGGAAUACUCUGGGCAUCACAGUUUGAUUAUAUAUGUGACAUUUGCUCCCAGACAUGGACAUUUGCCAAAAUACUCAUCAUAUGGCAUGCUUGAUGAUUACAGAGUAUUUACUUAUGACAGCACUUCUGAUGUUUUUUCACAUCCCUUUGGCCAACUGGAAUCUCUUUCUACUGUCUGGAGAGAUCUUAGGGAUUGCACAAACUUCAAAACUGGCUAUUUCAACCUGUUUUCUAGAAAUGCAAAUUUAACCCUGGGGCUGAAAGGCCCACUCAUACAGUUAAUGUAUGGCUGUCAGCUGAGAGAUAAUGGAACAUCAAGUGGACUGUAUCAUUUUUCAGUCAAUGGAGAGUAUAGUCUCUCUAUGGACAUGGACAGCCCUCAAUGGCACUCAUAUUUGCCACAAGAUUUGGACAUUAAGAACAUUCUAGACAGGUUUGAGCUCUGGAAUCACAAUAAUCUCAUUUACAUUCAUCGUGAUUGUGUUCCUCGACUCAAGAAGUUCUACAAACACAGUAGAACAAUACUUGACCAACAAGGCAAGUGUGUUUGUGCAUGUUUAAAUGUAUCCAGUGUUGUUUAUAUGUAUUCUGGCAUACAACAAGGGUAUAUGCAUGUUGCUAAACCGGUUUUAACAAGAACAUAUUGUGCUCAGCUUAUUGAAUUUUUAGUUUAUCUUGCUGAUUGAGUUUGUUUUGUCUGCGCUUAUACGCCCUGAAGCUGUGAUCAGGCACCAGCACGCUGGUGCUCUCAACUGUGUGGUGACAGGGUUUUACCCUAAAGAUAUCACUGUGGAGUGGAUAGUUGAUGGACAGCUAGCCUUAGAUGGGAUAUCAACAGGCCUCCUGCCAAAUCAUGACCAAACAUACCAGAUUCAGAUGACAAUUUUGUUAUCUGAUGCUACACACAAUUACUCCUGUCAAAUAAAGCACAGCAGUCUUCAAGAACCGAUGGUCCUUACAUGGGAUGCUUCUUCAAGUGUGACUGAUGAAAACAAACUGCAUAUUGGUUUAAUUGCUGGACUGGUUGCAGUGUUUACACUAAUAAUAUUUCUUGUGUGUAUUACAUUGAAGCAUGUAAUUUGUAAAAAAAAUAUGUAUUUGUAAUAUAAUUGUACAUUUUAUUUAAAUUAUAUUAUUUAUAUUAUUAUAUAUUAUUUUCUAAACUUUAUAGCCUGGUUUCAGAGACAGGGCUUAGAUUAAGCCAGGAUUAAUCCUUAGUUCAAUUAGGACAUUUAAAGGUGCAUCUAUUGACAGAAAUGCAAUAUAAUAUACAUAACUGUGUUUUCAGUGGUGUAUAAAGACCUUACAUAAUGAACCGUUAUGUUUUUAUUACCUUAGAAUGAGCCAUUUUCUACACCAUGGGUCCCCUUACAUGAUAAGUCACCAUUUUGCGCCGACAUGUUUCUACAGCAGCCCUAAACGGACAAACUGCUGUACAGAGCGCAUUUCAUCAAUAUUUUGUUGUUGUUCUUCUUCGUUGGUGUUUUUAGUGGCAGCUUGCAUCGUCACUACGUUGAAUACACACGAAGAAGAAGAAGUAGUCGUCGUCUGGUUUAUUAGAAGCAGAGACCGUUCUUUGUUAGAAGUAAGAAGAAACCUCAUUGCUUGACUGACUACUCUCUGCUGUCCUGUGUCUCUCUCCUUCUCUAUGUGCUUCGAAAGGGAGGGUGAGCAGUGUACUGAGCAAUUCGCAACCUCAUCGCUAGAUGCCGCUAAAAUUUACACACUGCACCUUUAAGUAUCUUUUAUAAAUGUGCCUUAGAAAAAAACAUUACUGGUUUGAAUCUGGAGACAAAUCAUAUAUUUUAAGAUAUGUCAGUGCAAGUUGCUUUCAGUUAAAACAGCUCAAAUACGCAUUUUAGUCUGGGACUAAGCUUGUCUGUGAAACUGGGGGUAUAAGUCACUGUCAUCCUUAUGGCUACUUAAAGCUGCCGUCCAUAACUUUUUUUGGUUAAAAAUGAUCCAUAGUCAAUUUUGAACAAGUACAUAACCAGCAAGUGUUCAAAACUGUCUAUUUACCUUAGCCCGAUUCACAACGGUAAGCUUGUAAUAAUGUUUUCUAAUUCGGGUGGUACUGGUGGGUUUCCAUGGGAAAUUCGAGCAUCCAGCCGUUCGUCUUUGCGUCAUUAUGUCACGUCUGUUUACAUGAAGAAGGAGUCCCAGCUAGUAGGUUAUAUGGCAUGUGGAGGAUACUACAGCUGGCGGAUCAUUUAUAGUCUUUUCUCACAGCAGCUGCAAUAAUUAAACUUAUUUUGAUGCGGAUUGUAAUCCAGAAAAGUCCAAAUGACAAUCAUCAGUGACAACCGGAGAUUCACCCAUGGUCAAAAGCAAAAGACUUCAGACUGCGAAGUGGCUACAGGAAUUGAAAUCUACAGGUAAUACAUUGAAAACACAUAGUCACGCAAUGCUGAUGUUGUCAACAUUAACAAUUUGAGAACAAAGUAUAACAAUAAUAAUCAUUUGCACGGUUUGACGUGAUCCGAGUUAAGCGAUCGUUAGCUUUAAUCACCAUUAGCUUUUUGUAAUGCUUUUUUUCUCAGUUGGUCAGAACAAAAGUGGCAGACAUGUUACUUACUUCUUCAGAUGACAUUUUCCAGUGAAAAUUCUUAUUUUGGUCAUACUUCCAAGACAUACAAUCUGUGAUUCCGAAGUACAGUAUCCACACAGCAUGACUGACAGCAAACAUUAGAUUCAUCCGCGCUGAGGAGCCGUGCCGAGGCACAACCCACGUAAAGAUGGUAAUUCCAUAAAUAACUGCAAUCGCAGGUUUCAAACAGAGAUGGCGACAGAGGCAAACCUUACGGACUGCAGCUUUAAGGCAAUUUUCUAACAAAUCUGCUAUAAAAAUAAAUAUAUGUGAAACUUUAUAUUUAUUUCUAUUUAGAUAUAUAUUUAUUUUUUUUCUAAUUCAUUAUAUGGCUUUGUUAUAUUAUAUUCAUUGUGAUUGUAUGUUAUAUGAGAUUAAUGUUAUUUGUCUUUACACUUCGUUACAUUUAUUUGACUUAUUAGCUAGAAUUGUUUUGAAUUUUACAUGCAGAUCAUUGAUUUUACAUAAUUGUCUGUUUUGAGACAAAUCAUUUAAUAAAUUAAGAUUAAGAUGGUUUAAGAUUUAUUCUAAGAUUUAUAUUAAAUUUUUCUAUACUUUAUGUUUUAUUAAAGUAUCUUCUGUUCCUGACUGGAUUACACAGCAAAGCAUGUCGAAUUAGUUUGUUCCAUUAACUGCAGUGUCACUACUCUUGCACAUUAGAGAGCAUGAAAGGGUAUGGAUCAUGUGAUUUGAGAUCAUCUGGGAUAGAAAAGUGAAAAUCAAGUGAUGUGUGACGCUAAGCACUGAUCAUGUUUCAACCAAAGACCACUCAGACUACAGCCACAGAAUUGAACCAGAUUGCACGGAAAUAUUAUGAUAACAGACUGGGCUGGGAGUAUCAUUUGAGAGCUACAAAGAAAGCACAUGCAGUCCCAUCUAAUAAUCUGAUUAAACCUCAAGCACCACUUCCGUCCAGACCACUUCAGCGCACUCAACACAGAUGAAAAGGGAAACCCUGCCCAAAUCAGCUUCUCUGCUGAGUUAAAAACACUAGAACUGACCAAUAGUGUCUGUGGAAAAUCAGUUUAUACUUUUAUGCAUCAGUUUUGGCCAAAAAAGUAUAUGGACACUUAAGAAAUGAGCUAAUAGGAAAGAUAAACAAGGAAAAUGUUUCACAAAAGUGUUAAAUAAAAAUUCAUUUUUAAAUAUA